rnacentral:rRNA from 1 species
CAGCUCCAAUAGCGUAUAUUAAAAUUGUUGCAGUUAAAAAGCUCGUAGUUGAAGUUCUGCUGAAAGUAACCGGUCUGCUUUUAAUAAAAGUGGUAUCUUGGUGUGUAUUUAGCAAUGAUGUCCUUUGAAGUGUUUUUUACUUUAUUGUAAUAAAGCAUAUUCAGGACUUUUACUUUGAGAAAAUUAGAGUGUUUCUAGCAGGCUGACGCUUUGAAUACUGCAGCAUGGAAUAAUAAGAUAGGAUUUUAGUUCUACAUUAUUGGUUUUAAGAGCUAAAUUAAUGAUUGAUAGGGACAGUUGGGGGCAUUUGUAUUUAACUGUCAGAGGUGAAAUUCUU